rnacentral:rRNA from 1 species
UCGGGAAUUUUGGGCAAUGGGCGAAAGCCUGACCCAGCAACGCCGCGUGAGGGAUGAAGUAUUUCGGUAUGUAAACCUCGAAAGAAUGGGAAGAAUAAAUGACGGUACCAUUUAUAAGCUCCGGCUAACUACGUGCCAGCAGCCGCGGUAAUACGUAGGGAGCAAGCGUCGUUCGGAUUUACUGGGCGUAAAGGGCGCGUAGGCGGCGCGGUAAGUCACUUGUGAAAUCUCUGAGCUUAACUCAGAACGGCCAAGUGAUACUGCUGUGCUAGAGUGCGGAAAAGGCUACCGGAAUUCUUGGUGUAGCGGUGAAAUGCGUAGAUAUCAAGAGGAACACCUGAGGCGAAGGCGGGUUGCUGGGCCGACACUGACGCUGAUGCAC